rnacentral:rRNA from 1 species
UACGGAGGGGGCUAGCGUUGUUCGGAAUUACUGGGCGUAAAGAGUGUGUAGGCGGGCUCUCAAGUCCGGGGUGAAAUCCUGGAGCUCAACUCCAGAACUGCCUUUGAUACUGGCGAGCUUGAGUCCGGGAGAGGUGAGUGGAACUGCGAGUGUAGAGGUGAAAUUCGUAGAUAUUCGCAAGAACACCAGUGGCGAAGGCGGCUCACUGGCCCGGUACUGACGCUGAGGUGCGAAAGCGUGGGGAGCAAACAGG